ACCCAGUCGAUGAAUCCCAAAUAGGACGAAACACGCGUCUUGGAU
rnacentral:hammerhead_ribozyme from 1 species